AGCAGAUCAGACGGUCGCGCGUUCAAGUGUCGAAAGGCCGAACGUGAGGAAAGUCCGAGCUCCAUAGGGCAGGAUGCUGGAUAACGUCCAGUGGGGGCGACCCUAAGGAAAGUGCAACAGAAAUAUACCGCCGGGAAACCGGUAAGGGUGGAAAGGCGAGGUAAGAGCUCACCGCUCUUUUGGUGACAAAAGAGGCUCUGUAAACCCCAUCCGGAGCAAGACCGAACAGGAGGCGAUACGGCUGCCCGCCGUGCCUUCGGGUAGGUCGCUUGAACUGUAUGGCAACAUACAGGCUAGAUAGAUGACCGUUCAAUGACAGAACUCGGCUUAUCGAUCAGCUC
rnacentral:RNase_P_RNA from 1 species